CUGAAGAGUUAGUCAGACCCGAAGGUAUCGGCGCAGCCAAAGAGUGACAGUACAGUGUACUCCUUCACUCCUCGUUAGUAUAGUGCUGUGAUAACUUCAUGAAAUUGCAGUGAAUGCUCCAGACUUCCACCCACAGCAACCAUGGGUUUUUGUGGAGCUGCUUUCUGCAGGCAUGCGGCAGCCCUGAGGACAGGAUGCAAAAUGCUCCAGCUCACAGCUUCUGCAUGACUGUCAUCCCUGCCAGCCACCAUGCUGCAGCCCUCCGGGUCCCAUC